rnacentral:rRNA from 1 species
AUUGAACGCUGGCGGCAUGCCUUACACAUGCAAGUCGAACGGCAGCACGGGAGCAAUCCUGGUGGCGAGUGGCGAACGGGUGAGUAAAGUAUCGGAACGUGCCCAGUCGUGGGGGAUAACGUAGCGAAAGUUACGCUAAUACCGCAUACGAUCUAUGGGUGAAAGCGGGGGAUCGCAAGACCUCGCGCGAUGGGAGCGGCCGAUAUCAGAUUAGGUAGUUGGUGGGGUAAAGGCUCACCAAGCCGACGAUCUGUAGCUGGUCUGAGAGGACGACCAGCCACACUGGGACUGAGACACGGCCCAGACUCCUACGGGAGGCAGCAGUGGGGAAUUUUGGACAAUGGGCGCAAGCCUGAUCCAGCCAUGCCGCGUGCAGGAUGAAGGCCUUCGGGUUGUAAACUGCUUUUGUACGGAACGAAAAGGUUUGACUUAAUACGUUGGACUCAUGACGGUACCGUAAGAAUAAGCACCGGCUAACUACGUGCCAGCCGCCGCGGUAA